UACGUAGGGUGCAAGCGUUGUCCGGAAUUAUUGGGCGUAAAGCGCGCGCAGGCGGCUCUUCAAGUCAGGGGUGAAAGCCCAGAGCUCAACUCUGGAACUGCCUUUGAGACUGAAGAGCUUGAGUACGGGAGAGGUGAGUGGAAUUCCCAGUGUAGAGGUGAAAUUCGUAGAUAUUGGGAAGAACACCGGUGGCGAAGGCGGCUCACUGGCCCGUUACUGACGCUCAGGCGCGACAGCGUGGGGAUCAAACAGG
rnacentral:rRNA from 1 species